GAGCCUAAUAUCGUCUUGAUUAUCGACAGAGAAAUCUGCUUAUGUCUAUCUCUGACGAUCGUCGAUACACGAUACUAUCAUCUAUCGGCACAACCCUAGCUCGGACUGCUUUGGUUUAGUGCAGAGCCAUGCUCUUGUUUAGCGUAUGGGUCUGUCACAUGAUUAAGGAAGGACUUGAACCCGAAGACUUGUUAGACAAGAGGUUAGGUGAGCUUAUUACAGACUGAAGACACAGGUAAAGAAUGAAUUAAUCUUUUCUGUAUCUUAUAGAAUUUUAGUUUUUUAUUGUUUGUAGUGUGAUCAACGUCUGCAUAAGUACUAGAUAUGCUGGGUAAGUAACACGUAACAUUGUUAUUAUAUUUUGCUAAAAUUAAUGAAAUGUCUCGAAAAUAGAUUUGUUAAUUUUACUGAACGAGACUCAAAAGUCAGUCGGUAAAAUGAUCCCUAAAAAUGAUCACUAGAUGGAAGCAGUUCACUGAUUGCGCAGCACAGUCACAAGCGUCACAGUUAUGUCGGCGAUCAUUUUAUUUCUAAUCCAAUAGUGUUAUUGGAAAAUAUUGCAAUUGUGUUUUAAAAUACAACAAUGAGCACCACAAAACCAUUUAAGAAGCAUUCACUUCGAUGGGUAAACAGUCAACAAAGUAAAUGACCUCAGACGGACGGCGCGCUCACUUUAUUUUAUCAAAUGAUCUUAGUCACAUUUAUUCAUUUUAUAAGUUGGAUGGAAACCCGGCUAUUAUCUGCAUCAAACCAUGCUUCCGAUGUUCUGGGAUGCUCCUGGACAGCGGUGUCUCCGAGAAAAAUUUAGCUGUUCAUCUAAAAAAUGUUUGUACACAGUAAAACACUUAGGGUUGUUUUUUUUAACCUAACCGUUGGGUUACACAUAAUGGGUCAAUGUGUUUGGUUAUCUUAAAAUUUGUUGGGUCAUUUUUGUUCGUCGUUGGGUUAUUUUUAGUUAUAACCCAACUGUUGGGUUAAAUAUGUUUCCCGCUUCACUCCUGUUCAAAUUUUAACGGUCCAGUCAGAGACUCAGGCGUGGACAUCAGUGGCAGCCUGCAUGAUUAUGAAGGGCAUUUCGUGCAGACAUUCUCUUUAAAACCCUUUCUGCCAUCUGCACCAUACCACACUAAUGGAAAAAUAGUGUGCGCAUAAUACACGGAAAUGAAGCGGUUUUUCAUUGACAUUCAACCUGUUGGCACUAAUUAGUGCUGUACAUGAAUCACGAGACAAGCCAGAAUCCACAUGUCCUGGUGCUUGGUGACAAGGAAAACUCCAAGUUUUUAUUAUUUUAAACGGGAGGCGAUGGAACAGGAGAUGAUACUACAAGCAGUCGAUCUGUGUUUCAAACAUUUCUUUGUAUAUGACAUCUACUACCUAAAGCCCUCUGCUCCCAUUUGAGAGUUUUUGUAACACACAGUGUUUAAUAGUUCCUUCUUCACACUGUCUCCUCCUUAAAAACUUUGUGUUUAUUAAUCAGUGAAAAACUUUUAUUUUAUUGAUCAUCAAUAGGUCUAGCAGCUAGUAUAUAUAUUUUUAUUAUUAUAUGUUGUGUUCAUUUUAUUUGAAAGUCGUAACAUUCACCUACUGGAGCAGUGGGCAGCUAUAGAUCCAGUGAGAGCAACUGGGGGUUCAGUGCCUUGCUCAAGGGCACUUCAGCCAUGAGUAUUGAGGGUGGAAGAGAGUGCUGUUCAUUAACUCCCCACCACCUACAACUUCUGCCAGCACAGAGACUCAAACCUGCGACUUUUGGGUUACAGGUCCAACUCUAACCGUUAGGCCACAGCUAUGAACUGUAUUUGUGCGUUUUGAUAUGAACAUGAAUUGACACAUUUGUACAUCUAGAAAAUGUCAGUUGUAUUUUUACACAUCCUUGUACAUUUAAAUAAAAUAUUUUAAAAUAUAUUUGUAAAUGUGUUAUUUGCAUAU